CCUACGGGAGGCAGCAGUGGGGGAUAUUGCACAAUGGGGGAAACCCUGAUGCAGCGACGCCGCGUGGGCGAAGAAGUAUUUCGGUAUGUAAAGCCCUAUCAGCAGGGAAGAAGAAAUGACGGUACCUGAGUAAGACACACCGGCUAAAUAUGUGCCAGCAGCCGCGGUAAUACGUAUGGUGCAAGCGUUAUCCGGAGUUACUGGGGGUAAAGGGAGCGAAGACGGCAGUGCAAGUCUGGAGUUAAAGGCGGGGGCUCAACCCCCGGACUGCUCUGGAAACUGUACGGCUGGAGUGCAGGAGAGGUAAGUGGAAUUCCUAGUGUAGCGGUGAAAUGCGUAGAUAUUAGGAGGAACACCAGUGGCGAAGGCGGCUUACUGGACUGUAACUGACGUUGAGGCUCGAAAGCGUGGGGAGCAAACAGGAUUAGAUACCCCAGUAGUC
rnacentral:rRNA from 1 species